rnacentral:rRNA from 1 species
GAUGAACGCUGGCGGCGUGCUUAACACAUGCAAGUCGAACGAUGAACCUCACUUGUGGGGGGAUUAGUGGCGAACGGGUGAGUAACACGUGAGUAACCUGCCCUUGACUCUGGGAUAAGCCUGGGAAACCGGGUCUAAUACUGGAUACGACCUUCUGGCGCAUGCCAUGUUGGUGGAAAGCUUUUGUGGUUUUGGAUGAACUCGCGGCCUAUCAGCUUGUUGGUGGGGUAAUGGCCUACCAAGGCGACGACGGGUAGCCGGCCUGAGAGGGUGACCGGCCACACUGGGACUGAGACACGGCCCAGACUCCUACGGGAGGCAGCAGUGGGGAAUAUUGCACAAUGGGCGCAAGCCUGAUGCAGCGACGCCGCGUGAGGGAUGAAGGCCUUCGGGUUGUAAACCUCUUUCAGUAGGGAAGAAGCCGGCUUUUGGGUUGGUGACGGUACCUGCAGAAGAAGCGCCGGCUAACUACGUG